rnacentral:rRNA from 1 species
ACAUUCCACGUUUUCCGCGCCGUAGCUAACGCAUUAAGUGCCCCGCCUGGGGAGUACGGCCGCAAGGCUAAAACUCAAAGGAAUUGACGGGGGCCCGCACAAGCGGCGGAGCAUGCGGAUUAAUUCGAUGCAACGCGAAGAACCUUACCAAGGCUUGACAUGGACCGGUAACGCCUGGAAACAGGUGCCCCACUUUGUGGCCGGUUCACAGGUGGUGCAUGGUUGUCGUCAGCUCGUGUCGUGAGAUGUUGGGUUAAGUCCCGCAACGAGCGCAACCCUCGUUCUAUGUUGCCAGCGGUUCGGCCGGGGACUCAUAGGAGACUGCCGGGGUCAACUCGGAGGAAGGUGGGGACGACGUCAAAUCAUCAUGCCCCUUAUGUCUUGGGCUUCACGCAUGCUACAAUGGCCGGUACAAAGGGUUGCGAUACUGUGA